rnacentral:rRNA from 1 species
UACAGAGGGUGCGAGCGUUAAUCGGAAUUACUGGGCGUAAAGCGCACGUAGGCGGCUUGGUAUGUCGGGUGUGAAAUCCCCGGGCUCAACCUGGGAACUGCAUCCGAAACUGCCUUGCUCGAGUAUGGGAGAGGGAAGUGGAAUUUCCGGUGUAGCGGUGAAAUGCGUAGAUAUCGGAAGGAACAUCAGUGGCGAAGGCGACUUCCUGGACCAAUACUGACGCUCAGGUGCGAAAGCUAGGGGAGCAAACGGGG